rnacentral:lncRNA from 1 species
AAAUAAAAUCACUUUUAUUAAUGAUUUAAAUCAUAGGCGUAUAAAGAGUAAGCUUGGGAGGGAACAUUAUCCUUCCAAACUUUAUUGGGUUCUAAAUGAGCAAGUUGGGCCAGACAAUGGGCCACUCUAUUGCCUAUUCUAGGAGUAAAAUGAUAAGUACAGGUGUCAAACAGAGCACUGGUCAUCCAGAUUUCCUUCAAGAUAUAUCCUAAAUAUGAUCUAUCUUCUGUAUGCUGUCUUUUGAGCUUUUUAACGAUACUUUCACAAUCACUCUCAAAAACCAUGUUCCUGAGACCACAAUUGACAGCGAGAUGCAUACCAGCAAAGAUAGCGUACGCUUCAGCCGUCUCUGCGUUAUCAAACCCAUUUCUUCCACACGAGGCUGAGACCGAUGCAAGACCUUCUGAAUUUCUGAUGAUGCAUCCCAAACCCCAUCGUCCUGGUACUUGUAAAUUAGCAUCACAGUUGGCUUUAUGUAUGUUCCCCUUCGGUCUUUUCCAUUUAGUGGUUUCGUUGUGAUUAGAUUUUUGUUGUAAUGAAUUGAGGUUGGAAUUGAGCACGGUAGGAGCUGAGGUUUGACACUGGGGCGAAGUUGUUACAUGUGUUAUUUGUAUUGAAAAUUGAG